ACAAGAGAAAAUCCAUUUGAUUUGUCAAUUUCUGCAAAGAGGCUGACGCUACAUAAUUUAAUUUAUUUAGUGGUUUUCUGGUUCAAAUAAUGCCAAAAGCGUUGAAAAGUGAUGCAAGAAAAGUUAUAUUAGAUGUAUACGCUUUUAUGCAAGAAGAAAAACGUAAUAAGGCGCCUUUAAUUCCGUUUGAAAAAUUGGAAGAACGAGUUGCAGCGGCUACAGGUGUGAGUGACAGAUUGGUUAGAAAAAUAGUUAAAGAAAUGAAACAUGCUGAGGAGACAGGUGAAAAGAUUUCUACUCCCGGGAAGAAAAGAAACAAAAACAGAACAAAGGGAAGGAUUGAAGUUGAUGAUUUUGAUCUUGGUGUCAUAAGAUGAAAAGUUCAGGAAUUUUACUCGGUGAAAAAGGAGAUUCCUAGCAUUCCCAAACUGCUUAACAUUCUAAGAGAAGAUAUUGAUUUCAAAGGCAGCCGUGAGGUUUUAAGAAAACUUCUGCAUAAAAGCGUUAAUGACAUCUUCUCCCAACCUAACAAGGGUUGGCUGGAAAAAAAUGCUUUUUACCAAUAAGCCUUUGUACAUAAUCUGUUUCUUUUAAAUGUUAUGCUGUUGUUUUUGUUACUUUAUAAAGUGUUCAUAAUAAAUAAAUGAUAAAUUUAAA